rnacentral:lncRNA from 1 species
AUGUGUGCAAAGCUCAGAGAACAGGGAGUAGCUCCGGAGACAGCAGCUCUCUCUGUGGUGGGCGUGUCCAGGAGGCUGCCCCUGCCCACCUCUCGGGGCAGGAUCUCCUGUCUCUGUCCCUCCCAGCCCAGCGCACGUCUGAGCUGUGGUCAGGACAUCUUGUCCUCAGCUGUGCCCCCUUGCCCGGUCAGUUCUUCAGGUGGCCGUGGGCACAUGUGUGCCAGGAGGGAAGGGGGCAUCCUCACAAGGGUGACGUGGGGCCACCUCCAGAGCACAGCCACGGGGCCACCUGAGACUUGGCAGCAGUCAGCAACAUGGCUCCUGGAUGCCUUCCCGCCCAGGCCUGUCCAAAGGAGAGCUCCUCCAACGUGGGGUGGAUGGAGCCCCACCCUGGGUGGCGUCCCUCCAGGAGGUUACCCACUGAGAGGCCUGGGGCCAGCUGCUCACCCUUCCGCUGCAGGGCCAGGUCCCUACCAGGUGGCCACCAUCUCAGACCCUCAACAUUCCAGUCUGAGUCUGAAGAGAACUUUCAGAUCAGAGCACAAGUUCCAUGGGCCUGGGGCGGCGUGUGCUGGGUGUGCUGGGUGCCUGGGUGUAUGGGUGUCCCGGGUAUGCCCCAAGUGUGCUGGUUGUGCUGGAUGCCCAGGUGUGCGGGGUGCCCGGGUGUGCUGGAUGCCCAGGUGUGCGGGGUGCCCGGGUGUGCUGGGUGUCCCGGGUGUGCUGGGUGCCAGGUGUGUGGGGUGCCCGGGUGUGCUGGGUGCGCUGGGUGUGCUGGUUGUGGUGGGUGCCCCGGGUGUGCUGGGUACCCCGGGUGUGCUGGGUGCCCAAGUGUGCUGGAUGCCCAGGUGUGUGGGGUGCCCGGGUGUGCUGGGUGCCUGGGUGUGCUGGCUGUCCCGGGUGUGCUGGGUGCCCAAGUGUGCUGGAUGCCCGGGUGUGCUGGAUGCCCGGGUGUGCUGGGUGCGCCGGGUGUACUGGUUGUGGUGGGUGUCGUGUGCUGAGUGUCCUGGGUGCCCUGAGUGUGCCGGGUGUGCUGGGUACCCCAGGUGUGCUAGGUGCCUGCCUCUUGGACGUCCCAUGGCAGGCACAUCCCUGCUGGGCAGGGAGCACGUUGGACACCUGCCAUGGCCCCAGCCUGUGUGUGCGGCACUCCUGUUUGCUCAGGGCUGGUGGAGGAGCAGCGGGAAACCAGACGAGUACUCAGAUUGCGUGCCUGUGUGGGGCUUUCUGGCAGAGGACCAUCUCACGUUGGAACCAAUUCAGAUGGAAACGAGACGUGGAAGGUUGUGCUUUGCUAAUGGGUCUUUGAAAUCCUGGAUAAUAUACUGA